GUACAUAAGCAGUGGUUCAAGUUAUAUGUAUUAUCAAUGUUCGUACGUAGUCCAAGCCAUAGGUGACACUGUUUACAGAGCAGCAUGUACCCAAGAUUGCCCACGGUUUGAAAUCCUCACCUUGCCUGGUUAUCGUGGAACUUGCCCUGAACUAGCUUCAUUAUCCGGAGGUGUGACCUUAGAGUUUUGUUUCGACAAAUGUCUAGACAUGGAAAGCUGCAGGGGUGUAAGCUUUGACGUAAAUAGACAAAGUUGUACUUUCCAUAACUGCACCAGCUACACAAACUCAGUCGGUUACGAUUUUAUGGCAAGGCGCUGCAUGAACAA
rnacentral:lncRNA from 1 species